GACGAACGCUGGCGGCGUGCUUAACACAUGCAAGUCGAACGGUAAGGCCCUUCGGGGUACACGAGUGGCGAACGGGUGAGUAACACGUGGGUGAUCUGCCCUGCACUUCGGGAUAAGCCUGGGAAACUGGGUCUAAUACCGGAUAGGACCCUGGGAUGCAUGUCCUGGGGUGGAAAGCUUUUGCGGUGUGGGAUGGGCCCGCGGCCUAUCAGCUUGUUGGUGGGGUGAUGGCCUACCAAGGCGACGACGGGUAGCCGGCCUGAGAGGGUGACCGGCCAGACUGGGACUGAGAUACGGCCCAGACUCCUACGGGAGGCAGCAGUGGGGAAUAUUGCACAAUGGGCGCGAGCCUGAUGCAGCGACGCCGCGUGAGGGGUGACGGCCUUCGGGUUGUAAACCUCUUUCAGCACCGACGAAGCGCAAGUGACGGUAGGUGCAGAAGAAGGACCGGCCAACUACGUGCCAGCCGCCGCGGUAA
rnacentral:rRNA from 1 species